rnacentral:rRNA from 1 species
AAGGAAUAUUGGUCAAUGGACGCAAGUCUGAACCAGCCAUGCCGCGUGCAGGAUGAAGGCCCUCUGGGUCGUAAACUGCUUUUAUCAGGGAAGAAAUCACUUGUUUCUACGAGUGUUGACGGUACCUGAGGAAUAAGCACCGGCUAACUCCGUGCCAGCAGCCGCGGUAAUACGGAGGGUGCAAGCGUUAUCCGGAUUUACUGGGUUUAAAGGGUGCGUAGGCGGGCCUUUAAGUCAGUGGUGAAAGCUCCGAGCUUAACUCGGAAACUGCCAUUGAUACUAUUGGUCUUGAAUUCGGUCGAGGUUGGCGGAAUGUGUCGUGUAGCGGUGAAAUGCUUAGAUAUGACACAGAACACCGAUUGCGAAGGCAGCUAGCUAGACCGACAUUGACGCUGAGGCACGAAAGCGUGGGGAUCAAAC